UACGUAGGGGGCAAGCGUUGUCCGGAAUCAUUGGGCGUAAAGAGCGCGUAGGCGGCCCAGUAAGUCCGCUCUGAAAGUCAGGGGCUCAACCCCUGAAUGCGGGUGGAUACUGCUGGGCUAGAGUCCGGAAGAGGCGAGUGGAAUUCCUGGUGUAGCGGUGAAAUGCGCAGAUAUCAGGAGGAACACCGGUGGCGAAGGCGGGUCUCUGGGCCGAUACUGACGCUGAGGAGCGAAAGCGUGGGGAGCGAACAGG
rnacentral:rRNA from 1 species